CAGAGAUCAAGGGAGAACUAUGUGUCUCCCAACAGUUACAGCUGUAACAAGAUAUAAACCUAACCAUAAACACUGGGAUCCCUGAACUAGUUUCAUUCUUAAUGCAGGAAAGAAUUAUAUCCAUGUAAAAUAGUGACCUAUAUACUGUGAGUUGAUAAGUCAUAACAUUCUUCUACUUAGGGUUAUUGUGAAGUUUCUCCAAAGCUUUCCUGGAGGAAUUCAGGUUGGCUAUCUUGAAUAGGACCCCCGCCCUCCCCAGUCAUUUUAGAGACUCAGAACUCCACUGCAGACCUCUAAAACUACCUUCAAAAGUGGUAUACCAAAACACAACUAUUAUUACAUUGCAGCACUUUCCAGUGCAUAAAGACACUCAUUGUUUUCUGUUUCUUAAGAGUAUUAAUGUGCUUAUUUUUUUUCUUCUUUUAAGAGAGCUGGUUUUCAUAAAUCUUUGUAAAAACUGUACAUUGUUGCAAUAGCUGAGGGCACCUAAUUCUCAAGUUACAUGCAACUACCACUACUUUUUUUCUUAGCAUAACAGCACCUAACUGUAGAGAUGUUCAGAGAUGCACAAAACUAGGUAGCUGAGUCAUCCACGUCACUGCCAGUAAUUACUCACACAGGCGUUAUGCAACUGUGACAAAACUCAGCGGCCUUUGACAGACCAGGGGCAGAACGUGCUUAAGAGGAUGGACUACAAACACUGGGGAAAGUGAGAGAUGUAUUUAAACAGACAUGAAAAACAGACCGGUAUGUACAACAGCAGCAAUGUUCAACUCACGACCUUGCUUUUUUUUAAGGCAGCUGCUUCUAACACGAUUGCAAUCACAUUUUAAUGAUCUACUACAGUUAUUUAUAAGCAACACCCUUGCUGUAUCUAUUUUUAUUACCACGAAAAUACUUAUUCAUCCUACAUUUAGGAGGAAAGAAGUUCACUCAACAUCUGAAGCUUAAACUGCAUGACACAGACUCUUUCUACCUAUGCUUAAGGAAUUCCAAUAGUCACAAAAUUGCUUCACAAGUGACAUUUUGUCAUAGGAAUAUAAGAAUUCCUAACCAAAUGAGAACUGGACAGUGUACAGCCAAGAAUUUAAUUCUCAGCACUUCAAAGAAACUCAACAUGAACAAAUGUAAAAUAAUUAAAUCUUAAACUUCUUCCAAAAGUUAGUGUUGUUUUUAUGCCUUGAAGCGUGAAAAUUUGUUCCCUACCUUCAAGAUCAUGUUCUUCUCUUGCCAACUGUUUUCAGUUCAUCAAUUCGACACAAGUGCUACUUCAUUGGAAAUGCACUUAUUUUUAAUAAUGUAAUUCUAAAUUUAGUCAACAGGCAGAUUCCCCAGGGAGAAUCAUUUCUUAAUGCUUACCUCCAGUGAUACGUCUAAUGGACAAGAGCACUAAUAAGUGCAAGUAAUUUGGCCUUCAAGAUGCAGGAUGACUACCUCAGUAAUAUUAUUGACUCUCUGUAGUUGCAGAGGUCAAGGUCACCUAGACCUAUCAGAUUGCAAACAUAAGGUUGCAUUAAGUAUUAAAAGAUACAAUUCAUUCUAUGAACUUUAAAUGAGGAAUCCAAACCAAAAACUCAUUUUAACAUAAAAUAAACCAUUGCUAAAUCCCA
rnacentral:lncRNA from 1 species